rfam:Hepacivirus hominis isolate 365502 polyprotein gene, complete cds
UUGGCCCCUCUACGGUAAUGAGGGCUGCGGGUGGGCAGGGUGGCUCCUGUCUCCCCGCGGCUCUCGACCUAGUUGGGGCCC